CCAACAACAAAGAAGAACAAAAAAGAACCUCCGAAUCUCCGCAAUGUUCUUUCUUGCACCACGUGAAGAACAACCUGCUCGACCGGAUUCGGGUGUGGGCUAUAUUCAAGUGGUGGUCGAUCACUGGCAUUAUGGCCAGCAGCGAGAACCUAGUCUUUGAGGUGGGGAUGGUUUCGGCAAAGUUUCCGAUGAAGAACUUCGACGAGAGCCCCUCGGCGAGCCGAUGAGGAUCUCAGACUUAGGUUGGGUCCUCUAAUCUGUUGCAUUUCUUCGAUAUUACACAAAGUCGCCGCACAGAAGUACAGAUUGACUAUGGCGGCUCAAGCAAAGAAAUACAACAAGCAGAGAGAAAUCAAUUGUGAAAAGGAAAGGAGGGGCAGAAGAAUCGUGCUAACCCUUGAACCCCCUCAGCACGUUCACCAGUGGAGUCCCCAGAUUGUGAACACUAAUGGCAGAAGCAGUAAAAGUAGCAGAGAGUGGCAGAAGCCGUAGAGCAAGAGAACAAGGGAGAGAGAAAGUAGAAUGGCGAGCUGCGUUACAGGUUUGCUUCUAUGAGGCAAAUGCAAGGGUAUUCUGCUGAUGAACCCUAAUGAAGAGGUUGUUGGGCUAUUAAUGCGAGCCUUAUAUGAUUUCCUGCAAGCCCCGUAUGCUGUAAAUGAAAACUGCUGCAUUUUGAAAUGUAGUUUGCAAUGUUCAUCUCGUAACUGCGAAUGGGCAUCACUGAAUGUGGGAGAGAAGAGAACGACUAGUAUUGUGUUCUUC